ACUUCCGGAAGGGAUGUAUUUAUUAGAUUCAAAACCAAUGCGGGUUCUGCCCGGUCCUUUGGUGAUUCAUAGUAACUCAUCGAAUCGCAUGGCCUUGCGCUGGCGAUGUUUCAUUCAAAUUUCUGCCCUAUCAACUGUCGAUGGUAAGGUAUUGGCUUACCAUGGUUACAACGGGUGACGGAGAAUUAGGGUUCGAUUCCGGAGAGGGAGCCUGAGAAA
rnacentral:rRNA from 1 species